UAGACUUUUUUAAUUAAAGAUGGGCUCCAGGCCCUUUUAUUAAAAAGCCCAAGAAUGAUCCAACAUUACAAAAUCGGGCUCAAUAGUUACCCGGUCCAAAUGAUAAAAUAGAACAAAAAUUCAUAAAUAGGAAAGUGGGAAAUGGCGAUGAAGCUUCAUCUUCAUCAUCUGGCCAGCGAAGCUGCAACUGCUAUGGUGUUGGUGUCACCUUGUAUUUCUCCAUGCAAAUCAAGAUUCUUCUUAUAUGUCUUAGCGUGCCAUUCAAUCUCCAGUCUUUGGUGUCAAGUUCGAACUUCACUGUCAGCUAAGUGUCUUGAAUUCUUGAUAGUUUGUAUUCAUCUUCCUAGUCGUUUUAAUCUCCUUGCCACUAGAUCAAUGGGAUGGACCUCAUUUGAGAUUAAUACACCAUCAAAUCUAAGUGUAAAAGAGAUAUAGACCACCUAAGAACUGUGGAUAUUAACUUGUUUCUUUCCCUAAUGCAGAUGUGCGACUAAUUCCAGAUAUUCGGAUCUGUUAAUUUUAAGACCAAGCUCCCUCAAACUUGAUCUAGUAUUUAAGAUACACCAAAAAUUCUCACAAGUGAGGAUAUCCAAAUCAUUGAAAAAUUUUCAGUCUGAGAAGUUAAUUGGUAUUCAUAUUAAUUACUAACAUAUCUAGAAUGUUAAACAUAACUCUGCAUGUUGAUGUCCAUGUGGGAUUGCUGUAUUUUGCCCUUUCUUUGAAUGAAGUUCUGACGCUUGCCUUCUCUAUUAAUAUCAAAACUUGUUAUUAUUU